GCGUUAACCAAUACCACGCUGUUGCUUUUAUAUUCGACUUCUAACGAUAGCAACAGCGCCCAUUUCCCUGGUGUUGGCGCAGUAUUCGCGCACCCCGGUUUCGAC
rnacentral:sRNA from 1 species